UACGUAGGGGGCUAGCGUUGUCCGGAAUCAUUGGGCGUAAAGCGCGUGUAGGCGGUCCGGUAAGUCCGCUGUGAAAGUCGGGGGCUCAACCCUCGAAUGCCGGUGGAUACUGUCGGGCUAGAGUGCGGAAGAGGCGAGUGGAAUUCCUGGUGUAGCGGUGAAAUGCGCAGAUAUCAGGAGGAACACCGGUGGCGAAGGCGGCGACCUGGGCCAAUACUGACGCUGAGGUGCGAAAGCGUGGGGAGCAAACAGG
rnacentral:rRNA from 1 species